UCACAGGUCAGACAAGGGCAGCAUGUCUGAAGACUGCGGGCCAGACCUCUGGGGAGCUGGGUGGGCUGAGGCCGAUCAAAAUUGAACCAGAGGUUCUGGACAUCAUUCAGGUCACUGUCGAUGCCUUGCCAACCUCUGAGGAAAUGACAGACUCAAUGCCUGGGCACCUGCCAUCGGAGGAUUCUGGUUAUGGGAUGGAGACGCUGACAGGUA
rnacentral:lncRNA from 1 species